rnacentral:rRNA from 1 species
AGUGAACGCUGGCGGUAGGCCUAACACAUGCAAGUCGAACGGCAGCACAGUAUGAGCUUGCUCUUACGGGUGGCGAGUGGCGGACGGGUGAUGAAUACAUCGGAAUCUACUUUUUCGUGGGGGAUAACGUAGGGAAACUUACGCUAAUACUGCAUACGACCUACGGGUGAAAUCAAGGGAUCUUCGGACCUUGCGCGAUUGAAUGAGCCUAUGUCGUAUUAGCUAGUUGGCGGGGUAAAUGCCCACCAAUGCGACGAUCCGCAGGCGGUCUCAGAGGAUGAUGAGACACACUGGAACUGUGACACGGUCCAGACUCCUUCGGGAGACAGCAGUGGGAAAUAUUGGGCUAUGGGCGGAAGCCUGAUCCAGCCAUACCGCGUCGGUGAAGAAGGCCUUCGGGUUGUAAAGCCCUUUUGUUGGGAAAGAAAAGCAGCAGGUUAAUACCCCACUGUUCUGACGGUACCCAAAGAAUAAGCACCGGCUAACUUCGUG